rnacentral:rRNA from 1 species
GACAGAGGGGGCAAGCGUUGCUCGGAAUCAUUGGGCGUAAAGGGUGCGUAGGUGGCGCCGUAAGUCGGGUGUGAAAUUUCGGAGCUUAACUCCGAAACUGCAUUCGAUACUGCGGUGCUUGAGGACUGGAGAGGAGACUGGAAUUCAUGGUGUAGCAGUGAAAUGCGUAGAGAUCAUGAGGAAGACCAGUGGCGAAGGCGGGUCUCUGGACAGUUCCUGACACUGAGGCACGAAGGCCAGGGGAGCAAACGGG